GGCGACUUGGCGGCGGGUGCCAUGCGUCUGGAGCUUCACAUUCUCUGCCCCCCACCCACCGCGCCGGCGCUCCCUUGUCACGCCUCGGGAAGCGCGCACCUGCCAAGCAGGCUCAUCUUUUUUCCUGUUUUUUCAACCUGGGUCAGUAUGAUGCAGGACUAGAGAGAAAUGAGAAGAGAAAAAUGAGGGUCAGUCUAUGAGCCAAGAGACAAAGUCAUGGGAAGACAGCUGAGGCUAAUUCCAGAAGGUCCUCCUAGGAGAAGCCAAAGCAGGGGACACACCUCAAAAUAGAGCCAUGCAUAGAACCACUCAUAGCCAGACUGCAAGGCAGGAACAUGAGGAUGGUCACUAGGAGGCCAACAAAUUCUGCUAAAGGGGAUUCUUUUUAUAAAAUACACUCUUUCAGGACAUUGUCAGAUCCUCUGCAUAUAGUCCUCAAAAUACGUCCUUGAUCCAGCUUGUUUUAAGUGUUUAUGCAAAAUAAUGGUAUGUUUGAAAGUGUUAGAUAUUAAUUUUUUAUUUCUGUUUUGAAGGCAUUCAAGUAUCACGGACUAUCAGCACCUUCGUUUCUUUUUUUUUUUUUUUUAAGCCAAAGCUACUGGAUCAAAAGUAAUAUACUGCUUUGUUUGUAUGUGAUGUUUGGGGAGAAGAAAAGUCGAAAUUCACAUAACUGAAAUUUUAAUCAAUCCUAACACUCUUUUUUUAUGAUGAGCCAUAUGUAUGAUCCAUAAACAGCUUCUAAACCUAUCCAUGUAAUCACAGCUCAGGUUAGAAAGGUUGCCUGUGUAGAGCAGGGUCAUAGGAUGAGCUCCCUCGAGGGGGCAGGAGGCUGCUGGAGGAGUGAACAUCAAGAAGCCUACAGGGAAGCAGUACACCAGCUGGAAAAACAUGACACCAGAUGCAAUAAUAAUCAUGAAGAGAUGUAGGCCCCACAACAGCCAAGGAUUUUGUAAAAAGGAAAGGAAGAUACUUGGGUGAAUGAGCCACUUUAUAUGCCAGUUCUGGGUGACACUUAAACACCAGCGUCAGGAAAAUCAAUCCUCAGUAGUUAGCUACCCACUGACCUACCCUUUUGCACCUAAGCUACAAGUACAUUUGUAGUCAUGAGAAGCACAAUCCCAAGUUCUAACCAUGCUCUUCAAAAGACCACUCAUCAUUGAGGGAGUUUGUUUAUUAAAACCAAUCUGUGGAACUUCCAGCUCCCUGGUGGAUCUUAAAAUUUCAGGAAAAAAAGUUAUAUUUACCUUCAAACCCAAAA
rnacentral:lncRNA from 1 species